rnacentral:rRNA from 6 species
UUGACCUCGGAUCAGGUAGGGAUACCCGCUGAACUUAAGCAUAUCAAUAAGCGGAGGAAAAGAAACCAACAGGGAUUGCCCCAGUAACGGCGAGUGAAGCGGCAAGAGCUCAAAUUUGAAAGCUGGCUCCUUCGGGGUCCGCAUUGUAAUUUGCAGAGGAUGCUUCGGGAGCGGUCCCCAUCUAAGUUCCCUGGAACG